CGCAUCUCCACUGCAAUGCGCUUUGCUCCCCAUCUAUUACCUGGCCCCACAGGUGGGCACCCACAGCUGUAAUUCAUUGCGCCGUUCCUUGAAAUAUCUGGGGCUUGGUUGAAAGUGCAGAUACAUCUGUGCCUCUGCAGGAGCUUGUGCUUCUGAGGCUCUGUGGGGACAUGGGCCUGGCUGUCCCAUUUCCCACCCUGGUCCUGCUGGGAAGCAUCCUCCUGCUCUACCACUGCCUCUGGGCUCGUGGUGCAGUGCUGCUAGGGGGGAACAAACCAGCCCUGUCUGAUGGAUAGAGGUGACCCCCAAGGCUGUAGGGACAUGGCUGGGGCUGCUUUGCCCCCACUGAGUGAUGGAAGCUGCUGUCUUCUCCUCCUGUGCCUCCAGACACCUCCGGGCUGGCUGGCCUCCAGCAGAAAGGGGUUUUGUUGGAAAAUAACAGGGAGGUUUUGAAGCAGGGGCUUUUGGGAGGAGUAUCCACAUGCAAUUUGUCUGUUUGUUUUCUUAUUGUAAAACCAAAGACAUUUCAGUUUUCAGAAACUGAUAAUUAAACAUAAAAAAAUAUUUCCUUUACCAGAAGCCACGGCUUGAACGCUUUGGUCAGCCAGGUAAAACCUUGCCUGGGCUGCCUGCGCUGGCUGGGGCUGACCUCAUGAAACCAGCCCUGGCGGGGUUUUCCCAUGGGUAAGGACACCCUUUUUCUCUUCAUUUCUGCCCAGGUCCGCAGAGCGUGAAGAUCGGCAUCAUCGGGCUUCCUCCCCAGCACCCUCUUCUUCCUCUGCUCUCUGAAACGAGGGCUGCUGGCACCCUGGCUGUCCCUGGGAGGCCCCAGGCACUGGGCUGAAUGUGUUAACUUUGGCUUUUUACCACCACCCCUUUCCCCCCGCCAUCACUCCAGAUGCCUGCGCAUCUUGUUUACCCAGCAAAAUGUGCCGGUGGAGAAAAUCAACGGGGGCACUGUCACGUGGGCCAUGGUAAACAGCCAGCAGAUGCAUUAUGUUGAUUUUGUUCCGGAGCCCUUCCAGAAGGCACCAUCCUGCUGAUGGGCUGCGCGUGGGCACCACAUCCCCCUGCCAGUCCUGCCCAAGCAGCAUCCUUGGGUGCCAUUCGGCACCGAGCACCCCAGUGAUGCCAGCGAACCAUCCUGCCCUCCUGCGCCCCGUCCCCCAGGGACCCAGGUGGCUUUGUUUCCUUCAGGGCCGUGUCAGGACCAUGGGGAAUUUGGGAGAAGGCACAUGGCCAGCACUCUGUGGUGCCUGUACAGCCUGGCGUCAGGGGAUGUCUUUCCAGGAUCACAGACUUUGGGUGUCUAUCCUUGGGCUCUUGAUAAGAUCAGACUGGCAAUGCGGUGCUGCCGGCAAAAUGCCUUCACCCAGCGCCUGUGUGGCUGUGCCAGGAGAAGAAGCGGGGACGUGUUCAGCGCCACUGGCCUCGCCGCGACCAGCGCGUGAUGGAGGUGGCUGAGACUGCGGCAGCUGCUGGCCAGGCUUGGCUCUGGCCGCUGGCCUCCUGCCUCCAGAAAGGGAGCAAUGGCUCCUCCAGCCAUGGCUUCUAAUGCAAAUAAAAAUGUAAUUUAAAAAUUAAAUUUAAA
rnacentral:lncRNA from 1 species